rnacentral:rRNA from 1 species
UACGUAGGGGGCAAGCGUUGUUCGGAAUUACUGGGCGUAAAGGGCUCGUAGGUGGUCAACUAAGUCGGACGUGAAAUCCCUCGGCUUAACCGGGGAACUGCGUCCGAUACUGGAUGACUUGAGUUCGGGAGAGGGAUGCGGAAUUCCAGGUGUAGCGGUGGAAUGCGUAGAUAUCUGGAGGAACACCGGUGGCGAAGGCGGCAUCCUGGACCGACACUGACGCUGAGGAGCGAAAGCCAGGGGAGCAAACGGG